GCCUGGAUGGCUCAGUCAGUAGAGCACAAGACUCCUGAUCUCAGGGUCGUGAGUUCAAGUCCCAUGUUGGGCA
rnacentral:tRNA from 1 species